GCCUUGGGCGGUUAACAGUACUUUCUGCCGGAAAGCACCGGCAUUCGUCCCUCAAGUUCCCUCUCCCUUCUCUUCAUCUCGUAAAACGGCGACACAACUCCCCACCCCGGCCGAGUCAGCGCAGGCACAAAACGAGUCACUCCCAGAGCCCAGGCCAACUUUCCUGGGCUGCUCGGCCAGCCACGCCCUGCGAGGGAUUGUUUUAAAGAUUAAAGUCCAGCAGCUUUCCCAACGUAA